UGGGGAAUAUUGGACAAUGGGGGAAACCCUGAUCCAGCGACGCCGCGUGGGUGAUGAAGGCUUUCGGGUCGUAAAGCCCUGUCAGGAGGAAAGAAUGCUCCUAUGAUAAAUACUCAUAGGAAGUGACGGUACCUCCAAAGGAAGCACCGGCCAACUCCGUGCCAGCAGCCGCGGUAAGACGGAGGGUGCAAGCGUUGCUCGGAAUUACUGGGCGUAAAGGGUGCGUAGGCGGCCUUUCAAGUCCGGCGUGAAAGCCCAGGGCUCAGCCUUGGAAGUGCGCUAGAAACUGAAUGGCUAGAGUAUCGGAUGGGAGAGUGGAAUUCCUGGUGUAGCGGUGAAAUGCGUAGAUAUCAGGAGGAAUACCGGUGGCGAAGGCGACUCUCUGGACGAUAACUGACGCUGAGGCACGAAAGCGUGGGGAGCAAACAGGAUUAGAUACCCCUGUAGUCCCUGAGCGGGCUGGCAAGGCGCAU
rnacentral:rRNA from 1 species